CACGUAGGGUGCGAGCGUUGUCCGGAAUUAUUGGGCGUAAAGAGCUCGUAGGCGGUGUGUCGCGUCGGCCGUGAAAACCUGCAGCUUAACUGUGGGCUUGCGGUCGAUACGGGCAUCACUGGAGUUCGGCAGGGGGAGACUGGAAUUCCUGGUGUAGCGGUGAAAUGCGUAGAUAUUCGGAAGAACACCAGUGGCGAAGGCGGCUCACUGGUCCGGUACUGACGCUGAGGUGCGAAAGCGUGGGGAGCAA
rnacentral:rRNA from 1 species